rnacentral:rRNA from 1 species
GGCGGACGGGUGAGUAACACGUGGAUAACCUACCUAUAAGACUGGGAUAACUUCGGGAAACCGGAGCUAAUACCGGAUAACAUAUUGAACCGCAUGGUUCAAUAGUGAAAGGCGGCUUUGCUGUCACUUAUAGAUGGAUCCGCGCCGUAUUAGCUAGUUGGUAAGGUAACGGCUUACCAAGGCAACGAUACGUAGCCGACCUGAGAGGGUGAUCGGCCACACUGGAACUGAAACACGGCCCAAACUCCUACGGGAGGCAGCAGUAGGGAAUCUUCCGCAAUGGGCGAAAGCCUGACGGAGCAACGCCGCGUGAGUGAUGAAGGUCUUCGGAUCGUAAAACUCUGUUAUCAGGGAAAAACAAAUGUGUAAGUAACUGUGCACAUCUUGACGGUACCUGAUCAGAAAGCCACGGCUAACUACGUGCCAGCAGCCGCGGUAAUACGUAGGUGGCAAGCGUUAUCCGGAAUUAUUGGGCGUAAAGCGCGCGUAGGCGGUUUUUUAAGUCUGAUGUGAAAGCCCACGGCUCAACCGUGGAGGGUCAUUGGAAACUGGAAAACUUGAGUGCAGAAGAGGAGAGUGGAAUUCCAUGUGUAGCGGUGAAAUGCGCAGAGAUAUGGAGGAACACCAGUGGCGAAGGCGACUUUCUGGUCUGUAACUGACGCUGAUGUGCGAAAGCGUGGGGAUCAAACAGGAUUAGAUACCCUGGUAGUCCACGCCGUAAACGAUGAGUGCUAAGUGUUAGGGGGUUUCCGCCCCUUAGUGCUGCAGCUAACGCAUUAAGCACUCCGCCUGGGGAGUACGACCGCAAGGUUGAAACUCAAAGGAAUUGACGGGGAGCCGCACAAGCGGUGGAGCAUGUGGUUUAAUUUGAAGCAACGCGAAGAACAUUACCAAAUCUUGACAUCCUUUGACCGCUCUAGAGAUAGAGUGU